GACGAACGCUGGCGGCGUGCUUAACACAUGCAAGUCGAACGGUGAACCUCUUCGGAGGGGAUCAGUGGCGAACGGGUGAGUAACACGUGGGCAACCUGCCCCCGGCUCUGGGAUAACUCCAAGAAAUUGGGGCUAAUACCGGAUGUUCACCGCUUCCCGCAUGGGUGGUGGUGGAAAGGGUUUCCGGCUGGGGAUGGGCCCGCGGCCUAUCAGCUUGUUGGUUGGGUAGUGGCCUACCAAGGCGACGACGGGUAGCCGGCCUGAGAGGGUGACCGGCCACACUGGGACUGAGACACGGCCCAGACUCCUACGGGAGGCAGCAGUGGGGAAUAUUGCGCAAUGGGCGGAAGCCUGACGCAGCGACGCCGCGUGGGGGAUGACGGCCUUCGGGUUGUAAACCUCUUUCAGCAGGGACGAAGCGCAAGUGACGGUACCUGCAGAAGAAGCACCGGCCAACUACGUG
rnacentral:rRNA from 1 species